CAAUCCUACGGGGGGCAGCAGUGGGGAAUAUUGCACAAUGGGGGGAACCCUGAUGCAGCGACGCCGCGUGGGUGAAGGAGUACUUCGGUACGUAAAGCCCUAUCAGCAGGAAAGAAAAUGACGGUACCUGACUAAGAAGCCCCGGCUAACUACGUGCCAGCAGCCGCGGUAAUACGUAGGGGGCAAGCGUUAUCCGGAUUUACUGGGUGUAAAGGGAGCGUAGGCGGCGAUGCAAGUCAGAAGUGAAAGCCCGGGGCUCAACUCCGGGACUGCUUUUGAAACUGUAUGGCUAGAUUGCGG
rnacentral:rRNA from 1 species